rnacentral:rRNA from 1 species
UACAGAGGUGGCAAGCGUUGUUCGGAAUUACUGGGCGUAAAGGGCGCGUAGGCGGCCUUCUAAGUCAGACGUGAAAUCCCCCGGCUUAACCUGGGAACUGCGUCUGAUACUGUUUUUCUUGAGUUCGGGAGAGGUUGAUGGAAUUCCAGGUGUAGCGGUGAAAUGCGUAGAUAUCUGGAAGAACACCAGUGGCGAAGGCGGUCAACUGGCCCGAAACUGACGCUGAGGCACGAAAGCGUGGGUAGCGAACAGG